rnacentral:rRNA from 1 species
AGCGAACGCUGGCGGCAGGCCUAACACAUGCAAGUCGAACGAAGUCUUCGGACUUAGAGGCGGACGGGUGAGUAACACGUGGGAACGGGCCUUUAGGUUCGGAAUAACCUAGGGAAACUUGUGCUAAUACCGAAUGUGCCCUUCGGGGGACGGAUUUAUCGCCUUUAGAGCGGCCCGCGUCUGAUUAGCUAGUUGGCGAGGUAAAGGCUCACCAAGGCUACGAUCAGUAGCUGGUCGGUGAGGAUGGCGAGCCACAUUGGGACGGGGACACGGCCGGAACUCUUACGGGAGGCAGCAGUGGGGAAUCUAGCGAAAUGGGCGAAAGGCUGACGCAGCCAUGCCGCGUGGAUGAUGAAGGUCUUAGGAUUGUAAAGUCCUUUCACCGGUGAAGAUAAUGACUGUAGCCGGAGAAGAAGCCCCGGCUAACUUCGUGCCAGCAGCCGCCGUAACAC